rnacentral:ncRNA from 1 species
CCUGCUGUACGACCAGCAGUAGCCUAGGAGAACAUGCGUCACUGGUAACGGUGAGGUCUGAAGCUUCUCUGACAAUGUAGCCCCCGGAUGGUUUCGGGCGAAUGCUUGCCGUGAGGUAGGCAUCCGGAGACUCCCAGCAGCAAGGGGGUCGAGGAG